CGAAGGAUGCAAGCGUUAUCCGGAUUUAUUGGGUUUAAAGGGAGCGUAGGCGGUCUUAUAAGUCAGUGGUGAAAUCUCGUUGCUUAACAACGACCGUGCCAUUGAUACUGUAGGACUUGAGUACAGUUGCCGUUGGCGGAAUGUGUCAUGUAGCGGUGAAAUGCAUAGAUAUGACGCAGAACACCGGUUGCGAAGGCAGCUGACGAAACUGUAACUGACGCUGAGGCUCGAAAGCGUGGGGAUCAAACAGGAUUAGAUACCCUGGUAGUCCACGCCCUAAACUAUGAUUACUCGCUGUCGGCGAUAUACAGUCGGUAGCUAAGCGAAAGCGUUAAGUAAUCCACCUGGGGAGUACGCCCGCAAGGGUG
rnacentral:rRNA from 1 species